rnacentral:rRNA from 1 species
GACGAACGCUGGCGGCGUGCUUAACACAUGCAAGUCGAACGGAAAGGCCCUGCUUUUGUGGGGUGCUCGAGUGGCGAACGGGUGAGUAACACGUGAGUAACCUGCCCUUGACUUUGGGAUAACUUCAGGAAACUGGGGCUAAUACCGGCUAGGAGCUCCUGCUGCAUGGUGGGGGUUGGAAAGUUUCGGCGGUUGGGGAUGGACUCGCGGCUUAUCAGCUUGUUGGUGGGGUAGUGGCUUACCAAGGCUUUGACGGGUAGCCGGCCUGAGAGGGUGACCGGCCACAGUGGGACUGAGAUACGGCCAAGACGCCUACGGGAGGCAGCAGUGGGGAAUAUUGCACAAUGGGCGGAAGCCUGAAGCAGCAACGCCGCGUGCGGGAUGACGGCCUUCGGGUUGUAAACCGCUUUCGCCUGUGACGAAGCGUGAGUGACGGUAAUGGGUAAAGAAGCACCGGCUAACUACGUG